CAGCCGCCACGGUAAUACGAAGGGGGCUAGCGUUGUUCGGAUUUACUGGGCGUAAAGCGCACGUAGGCGGACUUUUAAGUCAGGGGUGAAAUCCCGGGGCUCAACCCCGGAACUGCCUUUGAUACUGGGAGUCUUGAGUUCGAGAGAGGUGAGUGGAAUUGCGAGUGUAGAGGUGAAAUUCGUAGAUAUUCGCAGGAACACCAGUGGCGAAGGCGGCUCACUGGCUCGAUACUGACGCUGAGGUGCGAAAGCGUGGGUAGCAAACAGGAUUAGAUACCCGAGUAGUCCCUGUCUCUUAUAC
rnacentral:rRNA from 1 species